CUCUGUGGAGCACCUGCCUGGCAAGCACAAGAUCCUGAGCUCAAUCUCUGGUACCAGAAAAAAAGAACCUCUGUAGAGAAGGACACUGGGCUUGAUGUAGUGUACUAAGUAAAGAACUAUUAGGAAGGAAAAGUCUAGUUCACACCAUUAGCUUGAGCCUUUUUUUUUUUUAUAAAUGCUGCUGGGGAUCAACCCUAGGGCCUUAUACAUGCGAGGCAAGCAGUCUACCCCUGAGCCACAUCCCAUCCCAAAAAUUGUUUUAAACCUUUACUUCAGAGUUAUGGCUUUUUAUCAUAAAAAUUACCAGUUUAUUUAUAACUUAACAGAAGGACCAAUUUUUCUUUUUUCAGAGUGAUAUAAAAUUGUUGAUAUUUUUUCUAAAUGAUAGAAAUAAUGUAUGCUCAUUUUAGAGAGAAAAUAAUUUCCUCAAUGCUGAGCAUGUGGGGGCACAACUAUAAUCCCAACACUCAGAGGCUGAUCCAGGAUGAUUGCCAUGAAUUUAAGGCCGGCCUGGGCUACAUAGUGAGUUCAAGGCCAGGCUGAACUACAGAGUGAGACCUUGUCUCAAAAAAACCAGAAAAAUAAAAGGUCCACUCUACCUCUGGAAAGACAAGGGAGGCUACUGCCCAUAGGUGGCUCAAGUUCUUUACCCCAGGUCCAAGAUUUCACUUAAGUGUUGCUAUCUUCAGUUAAGAGACAAAAUCUUUCCAAACAAAUUGAGAUCAGCAGAACAAAGAGCACCACACGGAACCUUCUGGAAGAAUCUGAAAAUAAUUAAGAGUUGCAAGUUUUGGGGUUUUGUUUUUUUUUGGUACCGGGGAUUGAACUCAUAUCCUUGCGCUUUCAAGGCAGGCAGCAGAACCACUGAGCUAAAUCCCUCAGGAGUUGCAAGUUUUUAAACCAUGUUGGGAGUUCAAGGGCAGCCUGUAAUACACAGCAAGACCCUAUCUCAAAAAAAAUAAUUAAUUAAUUAGGUAAUAAAAGCAUGUAUGUAGUGAAAAAAAGAAAGAAAAAGAAACCCCUGCCACAACAGUACAAGCAAGGCCUAGAAGGAGCCAAUUUCCCAGGAAGAACCAACUGUCCCUUUGUGUAACAGCCCUCCUUGGCUUACAGAGCAGCAGAGGAGGCAGGGCUAAAGAAAGAAGUGUGAAGGUACCAUUGUUGCACUGUACUUUGGGAUAGAGACUGAGUGCUAAGCAGCCCUGCCCCUCCUACCAACUAAUGACACCAGAAGAGGAGCAAUGGUCACCAUUUCACCAUGUGUACACAUAACCUGGGUCAUGCAGAGCUUCGCUGUGUGGGCCCAGGGGAGUGUUUCUGCCAGCCCCCAGUUCCUCCCCUCCACGUUCUGCUCUCAUUCAAAGAUAAAGACUAAGAGGAACAGGCAUGUGCUCCACUGGAUGAUAAAUAAAAAGAAUGAAUUUUUACCUUCCCUACUUGAUAUUAUAUACAAAAAUGAGUUCAAGAUGAAUCACAGACCUAAAUGAGGAUAGGAAAACAAUAAAAGUUCUAGGAAAAAAAUGAGAAUGUCUUCAAAAUUCUAGGCAAAUGUUUCAUGAACAGGACACAAACUUAAAACAAGGCUUUUCAACCAAGGAAACCAAUUAAAGGAAUAAAGAGGCAAUAUAUAGACCAAAAUAUUAACAAUACGUGCAAAUAAUAAGUACUAGAAUCUAGAUAUAUAAAUGAUUCCAACAAUUCAAUAUGAUAAGCCAAUUUUAAAAUGAGCAAAAGACUUGGACAGUCACUUCACAAAAAAAGAUAGCGGAGUUUAGAUAUGCAUAGCCAAAGUAUGGCAUUUCAAAAUCAUUAUUCAUUAGGGAAAUCAUCUAAAGCCACUCUUGAGAAACCACUGUGCACCAACCAAAUGGCUAAAAUUGAGACUAGCACCUGGUAUAGUGGUGCACACCUGUAGUCUCAGCUACAAAAGAGUCUUAGCCUGUGCAAUUUAGCAAGACCCUGUCUCAAACUAUACAGCAUAAAAAUAGCCUGAGCAUCGUAGUGCACUCUUGUAAUCCAAGGACUCAGAGGCUGAGGCAGGAGGGUUGCAAGUUUGAACCCAGCCUGGGCAGCUUAGUAAAAUCCUGUUUCAAUAAAUAAAAAGGGUUGCAGAUAUAGCUCAGUGUGAAGGACAGGGGUUGUCCAGUACCCCACCCCACCACACACACACAUACACACAAAGAUAAAUAAUAAAAAAUUGUAAAAGGCUGGCAUGUAGUUAGUGACAAAGUCCUUGUUUAGCAUCCACAAGGUCAUGUGUUCAAAUCUCCAGUAUAAAAAAAGUCCCCAGCGAGGUGGUGGGCUUGGGAAAUCUACAGAAAUGAAAUCCACUCUCUAAAUCCAAAAAGGAAUUUACUUACUAUCCAAAGAUCUUUGGGACCAAUUACUGGGCCAUGUGAAAGAAUUCCACCUGAGAAUUUCUGUAAGUUGAUGUUUGAUAAUCCUUUACCUUUAUCUACAUAGCAUUUCAAAAUGUACAUGAUCUUACUUGAUGCCCAUGACAACCCUCAAUAAAUAUUCAAGAGCAAAUACUGGAUAGGUCAUUGUGCUUAGAACAGUAAGGCACCCUUCAUGUUUUUUCCCUCUUGGCCAUGAGGCUGUAGAGUCUAUCAGCUGGGACUCGUGGUUACAAGUGGCACAUUAUGGUUUAUAUCUAAAUGCUCCCCAAGAGCCCCAUGGGCUGUUUUGUUUUGUUUUGUGGAGACAAGGCCUUGCUAUGUAGUUCAGGCUGACCAGUGAACUCACCACAAUCCACCUGGUAAGUGGGGCUUUCAAAGGUGAUUGAAUCAUCAGGGUGAUAAGCUAAAUGGAUGUUAGGAAGUGGGGCUUGCUCUGAUGAAGCAGAUCACUGGGACCAUGAUCUGGAAGAGUUUAUCUCCUUCCCAGCUCAUCCCUUCUUUCUCUGCUUCUCAGCUGCCAUGAGGUGAGCAGCUUUCCCUCCACCAUGCCUGUCUGCCAUGCUGUUCCUUCUUUGGAGCCAGCCAAACAUGAACUAAAACAUGAUAAUAAACCUCUCCUCCUUUAAGUUGUGAGUGUCAGGUAUUGUGUGUUAGCAAUAAGAAAGCGACUAUGACAUGCCAAAAGCCAACUUGAACUGACAUAAGCAAUAAAAGAGAAUUUGCUCAUGUACAUGAACUGGUUCAAGUAUGUGAACAACCCAACACCGAUCUACUGGUAGUUUUGGCUGAGGGGUCUAACAGCUGGAUUCAAGUGUUCAGGGUCCCAAAAAUGCCUUCACCAUCAUGCAUGCUGGUUUCAUUCUUUAUCAGUGUAUUGUUUAUAAUCAUGGAAAAUUGAAUAAAGAAUAGCUAAAUAGAUCUGGUAUUCCAGUUCAAAUGUGUGCAGAUGUAAAAUUGUAAUUUUUAUGAUUAUACUUAUUUACAAGAAAUGAUAUCCAGA
ensembl:lncRNA